rnacentral:rRNA from 1 species
AGCGAACGCUGGCGGCGGGCCUAACACAUGCAAGUCGAACGAACCUUUCGGGGUUAGUGGCGGACGGGUGAGUAACACGUGGGAACGUGCCUUUAGGUUCGGAAUAACUCAGGGAAACUUGUGCUAAUACCGAGUGUGCCCUUCGGGGGAAAGAUUAAUCGCCUUUAGAGCGGCCCGCGUCUGAUUAGCUAGUUGGUUGAGGUAAUGGCUCACCAAGGCGACGAUCAGUAGCUGGUCUGAGAGGAUGAUCAGCCACAUUGGGACUGAGACACGGCCCAAACUCCUACGGGAGGCAGCAGUGGGGAAUCUUGCGCAAUGGGCGAAAGCCUGACGCAGCCAUGCCGCGUGAAUGAUGAAGGUCUUAGGAUUGUAAAAUUCUUUCACCGGGGACGAUAAUGACGGUACCCGGAGAAGAAGCCCCGGCUAACUUCGUG